ensembl:lincRNA linc-33 ncRNA
CUAACGGAUUGUCAACCAAUUGUGGUCGGAAAACAUGAAAAACAAGUGUUAAAUCUUCUUUAUAAUACUUGUAUUGUUUUUUUUUUCAGUAUUGAAAUACAACAUCAAAAAUAAAUACAUUAUUC